UGGGGAAUUUUGGACAAUGGGCGAAAGCCUGAUCCAGCAAUGCCGCGUGUGUGAAGAAGGCCUUCGGGUUGUAAAGCACUUUUGUCCGGAAAGAAAUCCUUGGCUCUAAUACAGUCGGGGGAUGACGGUACCGGAAGAAUAAGCACCGGCUAACUACGUGCCAGCAGCCGCGGUAAUACGUAGGGUGCAAGCGUUAAUCGGAAUUACUGGGCGUAAAGCGUGCGCAGGCGGUUUGCUAAGACCGAUGUGAAAUCCCCGGGCUCAACCUGGGAACUGCAUUGGUGACUGGCAGGCUAGAGUAUGGCAGAGGGGGGUUAGAAUUCCACGUGUAGCAGUGAAAUGCGUAGAGAUGUGGAGGAAUACCGAUGGCGAAGGCAGCCCCCUGGGCCAAUACUGACGCUCAUGCACGAAAGCGUGGGGAGCAAACAGGAUUAGAUACCCUGGUAGUCCACGCCCUAAACGAUGUCAACUAGUUGUUGGGGAUUCAUUUCCUUAGUAACGUAGCUAACGCGUGAAGUUGGCCGCCUGGGGAGUACGGUCGCAAGAUUAAAACUUAAAGGAAUUGACGGGGUCAUA
rnacentral:rRNA from 1 species